UGAGGAACAUGACCUUCGCGGGGGAUAGCCGGCCCAACGGCCGGGUAAUACCGCGUACGACCACUUUGGGACAUCCCUCGGUGGUGAAAGCAGCAAUGCGCCGAUGGAGUGCCUCGCGGCCUAUCAGCUAGUUGGUGGGGUAAUGGCUCACCAAGGCAACGACGGGUAGCUGGUCUGAGAGGAUGGCCAGCCACAUUGGGACUGAGACACGGCCCAGACUCCGUACGGGAGCAG
rnacentral:rRNA from 1 species